GGUUAAGCGACUAAGCGUACACGGUGGAUGCCCUGGCAGUCAGAGGCGAUGAAGGACGUGCUAAUCUGCGAAAAGCGUCGGUAAGGUGAUAUGAACCGUUACAGCCGGCGAUGUCCGAAUGGGGAAACCCAGUGCAAUUCGUUGCACUAUCGUUAACUGAAUACAUAGGUUAACGAGGCGAACCGGGGGAACUGAAACAUCUAAGUACCCCGAGGAAAAGAAAUCAACCGAGAUUCCCCCAGUAGCGGCGAGCGAACGGGGAGCAGCCCAGAGUCUGAAUCAGCUUGUGUGUUAGUGGAACGGUCUGGAAAGUCCGACGGUACAGGGUGAUAGUCCCGUACACCAAAAUGCACAGGCUGUGAACUCGAAGAGUAGGGCGGGACACGUGGUAUCCUGUCUGAAUAUGGGGGGACCAUCCUCCAAGGCUAAAUACUCCUGACUGACCGAUAGUGAACCAGUACCGUGAGGGAAAGGCGAAAAGAACCCCGGCGAGGGGAGUGAAAAAGAACCUGAAACCGUGUACGUACAAGCAGUGGGAGCACCUUCGGGUGUGACUGCGUACCUUUUGUAUAAUGGGUCAGCGACUUAUAUUCUGUAGCAAGGUUAACCGUAUAGGGGAGCCGCAGGGAAACCGAGUCUUAACUGGGCGUUAAGUUGCAGGGUAUAGACCCGAAACCCGGUGAUCUAGCCAUGGGCAGGUUGAAGGUUGGGUAACACUAACUGGAGGACCGAACCGACUAAUGUUGAAAAAUUAGCGGAUGACUUGUGGCUGGGGGUGAAAGGCCAAUCAAACCGGGAGAUAGCUGGUUCUCCCCGAAAGCUAUUUAGGUAGCGCCUCGUGAAUUCAUCUUCGGGGGUAGAGCACUGUUUCGGCUAGGGGGUCAUCCCGACUUACCAACCCGAUGCAAACUACGAAUACCGAAGAAUGUUAUCACGGGAGACACACGGCGGGUGCUAACGUCCGUCGUGAAGAGGGAAACAACCCAGACCGCCAGCUAAGGUCCCAAAGUCAUGGUUAAGUGGGAAACGAUGUGGGAAGGCACAGACAGCCAGGAUGUUGGCUUAGAAGCAGCCAUCAUUUAAAGAAAGCGUAAUAGCUCACUGGUCGAGUCGGCCUGCGCGGAAGAUGUAACGGGGCUAAACCAUGCACCGAAGCUGCGGCAGCGACACUAUGUGUUGUUGGGUAGGGGAGCGUUCUGUAAGCCUGCGAAGGUGUGCUGUGAGGCAUGCUGGAGGUAUCAGAAGUGCGAAUGCUGACAUAAGUAACGAUAAAGCGGGUGAAAAGCCCGCUCGCCGGAAGACCAAGGGUUCCUGUCCAACGUUAAUCGGGGCAGGGUGAGUCGACCCCUAAGGCGAGGCCGAAAGGCGUAGUCGAUGGGAAACAGGUUAAUAUUCCUGUACUUGGUGUUACUGCGAAGGGGGGACGGAGAAGGCUAUGUUAGCCGGGCGACGGUUGUCCCGGUUUAAGCAUGUAGGCUGGUUAUCCAGGCAAAUCCGGAUAAUCAAGGCUGAGGUGUGAUGACGAGGCACUACGGUGCUGAAGUAACAAAUGCCCUGCUUCCAGGAAAAGCCUCUAAGCAUCAGGUAACAUCAAAUCGUACCCCAAACCGACACAGGUGGUCAGGUAGAGAAUACCAAGGCGCUUGAGAGAACUCGGGUGAAGGAACUAGGCAAAAUGGUGCCGUAACUUCGGGAGAAGGCACGCUGGUGUGUAGGUGAAGCCCCUGCGGGUGGAGCUGAGACCAGUCGAAGAUACCAGCUGGCUGCAACUGUUUAUUAAAAACACAGCACUGUGCAAACACGAAAGUGGACGUAUACGGUGUGACGCCUGCCCGGUGCCGGAAGGUUAAUUGAUGGGGUUAUCCGUAAGGAGAAGCUCUUGAUCGAAGCCCCGGUAAACGGCGGCCGUAACUAUAACGGUCCUAAGGUAGCGAAAUUCCUUGUCGGGUAAGUUCCGACCUGCACGAAUGGCGUAAUGAUGGCCAGGCUGUCUCCACCCGAGACUCAGUGAAAUUGAACUCGCUGUGAAGAUGCAGUGUACCCGCGGCAAGACGGAAAGACCCCGUGAACCUUUACUAUAGCUUGACACUGAACAUUGAGCCUUGAUGUGUAGGAUAGGUGGGAGGCUUUGAAGCGUGGACGCCAGUCUGCGUGGAGCCAACCUUGAAAUACCACCCUUUAAUGUUUGAUGUUCUAACGUUGGCCCCUGACCGGGGUUGCGGACAGUGUCUGGUGGGUAGUUUGACUGGGGCGGUCUCCUCCCAAAGCGUAACGGAGGAGCACGAAGGUUAGCUAAUCCUGGUCGGACAUCAGGAGGUUAGUGCAAUGGCAUAAGCUAGCUUGACUGCGAGCGUGACGGCGCGAGCAGGUGCGAAAGCAGGUCAUAGUGAUCCGGUGGUUCUGAAUGGAAGGGCCAUCGCUCAACGGAUAAAAGGUACUCCGGGGAUAACAGGCUGAUACCGCCCAAGAGUUCAUAUCGACGGCGGUGUUUGGCACCUCGAUGUCGGCUCAUCACAUCCUGGGGCUGAAGUAGGUCCCAAGGGUAUGGCUGUUCGCCAUUUAAAGUGGUACGCGAGCUGGGUUUAGAACGUCGUGAGACAGUUCGGUCCCUAUCUGCCGUGGGCGCUGGAGAAUUGAGGGGGCUGCUCCUAGUACGAGAGGACCGGAGUGGACGCAUCACUGGUGUUCGGGUUGUCAUGCCAAUGGCACUGCCCGGUAGCUAAAUGCGGAAGAGAUAAGUGCUGAAAGCAUCUAAGCACGAAACUUGCCCCGAGAUGAGUUCUCCCUGAGACUUUAAGUCUCCUGAAGGAACGUUGAAGACGACGACGUUGAUAGGCCGGGUGUGUAAGCGCAGCGAUGCGUUGAGCUAACCGGUACUAAUGAACCGUGAGGCUUAACCUU
rnacentral:rRNA from 1 species